UAGUAGAGAAGCAUAUAUGAAUUUUCUGAGUCAAUCCAUAUAGUAACUGUUUGGGGUUUUGAUAGGUUAUGUUAGGAUAAGUUUAGGGUAUCUUCAAACACAUGAUAGCCAGCACUUUACAGUAUAUAUCAACAAAGAAUGACCUCACUAAGUUGUAUUCAAAGUCUCAUUAGUAAGGAAGCAUAUAUGAAUUUUCUAAGUCAAGACCUAUAGUAACUGUUUGGGGUUUUGAUAGGUUAUGUUAGGUUAAGUUUAGGGUAUCUUCAAACACAUGAUAACCAGCACUUUACAGUAUGAAUCAACAAAGAAUGACCUCACUUAGUUGUAUUGAAAGUCUCAUUAGUAAGGAAGCAUAUAUGAAUUUUCUGAGACAAGACCUAUAGUAACUGUUAGUGGUUUUGAUAGGUUAUGUUAGGUUAAGUUUAGGGUAUCUUCAAACACAUGAUAGCCAGCACUUUACAGUAUGAAUCAACAAAGAAUGACCUCACUUAGUUGUAUUGAAAGUCUCAUUAGUAAGGAAGCAUAUAUGAAUUUUCUGAGUCAAUCCCUUAAGUAACUGUUUGGGGUUUUGAUAGGUUAUGUUAGGUUAAGUUUAGGGUAUCUUCAAACACAUGAUAGCCAGCACUUUACAGUAUAAAUCAACAAAGAAUGACCUCACUUAGUUGUAUUGAAAGUCUCAUUAGUAAGGAAGCAUAUAUGAAUUUUCUGAGACAAGACCUGUAGUAACUGUUAGUGGUUUUGAUAGGUUAUGUUAGGUUAAGUUUAGGGUAUCUUCAAACACAUGAUAGCCAGCACUUUACAGUAUGAAUCAACAAAGAAUGACCUCACUUAGUUGUAUUGAAAGUCUCAUUAGUAAGGAAGCAUAUAUGAAUUUUCUGAGACAAGACCUAUAGUAACUGUUAGUGGUUUUGAUAGGUUAUGUUAGGUUAAGUUUAGGGUAUCUUCAAACACAUGAUAGCCAGCACUUUACAGUAUAAAUCAACAAUGAAUGACCUCACAUAGUUGUAUAGAAAGUCUCAUUAGUAAGGAAUCAUAUAUGAAU